rnacentral:rRNA from 1 species
UACGUAGGGUCCGAGCGUUGUCCGGAAUUAUUGGGCGUAAAGGGCUCGUAGGCGGUUAGUCGCGUCGGGAGUGAAAACUCAGGGCUCAACCCUGAGCGUGCUUCCGAUACGGGCUGACUAGAGGUAUGCAGGGGAGAACGGAAUUCCUGGUGUAGCGGUGGAAUGCGCAGAUAUCAGGAGGAACACCGGUGGCGAAGGCGGAUCUCUGGGCCUUACCUGACGCUCAGGUGCGAAAGCUAGGGGAGCGAACAGG